CCUACGGGGGCAGCAAGCGUUGUUCGGAGUUACUGGGCGUAAAGAGUGUGUAGGCGGUUUGCCAAGUUCGGUGUGAAAUCUCCCGGCUUAACUGGGAGGGUGCGCCGAAAACUGGCAGGCUAGAGUGCGGGAGAGGAGAGCGGAAUUCCUGGUGUAGCGGUGAAAUGCGUAGAUAUCAGGAGGAACACCUGCGGUGUAGACGGCUCUCUGGACCGUUUCUGACGCUGAGACACGAAAGCGUGGGUAGCAAACA
rnacentral:rRNA from 1 species